CUGCUACUCCCUCCGUCCGGAAAUACUUAUCAUCAAAAUGAAUAAAAUGGGAUGUAUCUAGAUGUAUUUUAGUUCUAGAUACAUCCCUUUUUAUUCAUUUUGAUGACAAGUAUUUUCAGACGGAGGGAGUACCAU
rnacentral:pre_miRNA from 1 species